GUGCAAAGGUAGCAUAAUCAUUUGUUUCUUGAUUAGGAACUGGAAUGAAAGGUUUGAUUGAGAAUGGCUUUAUUAAGGAAAAGAGUUGAAAUUAGCGUUGAGAUAAAAAGCUUUCAAUAUAUUUGUGGGACGAUAAGACCCUAUUAAGCUUUACUAAAAGUAGAGAAAGACUUGUUUUUCUGCUAUAAAGAGUUUUACUGGGGCGGUAGCUUAAUAAGAUUAGUAAGAUUAUUAAGAGCCAUCAUUGGUGAAAAUAAGAUAAAGUUACUGUAGGGAUAACAGCAUAAUMUUUUCUAGGAGCACUAAUCUGAGAGAAGGUUUAUGACCUCGAUGUUGAAUU
rnacentral:rRNA from 1 species